AUACGGGGGGUGCAAGCGUUACUCGGAAUCACUGGGCGUAAAGCGCGCGCAGGCGGGCUGAUAAGUUGGAUGUGAAAGCCUACGGCUCAACCGUAGAACUGCAUCCAAAACUGUCAGUCUAGAGUCUGGGAGGGGAAGAUGGAAUUAGUUGUGUAGGGGUAAAAUCCGUAGAGAUAACUAGGAAUACCAAAAGCGAAGGCGAUCUUCUGGAACAGUACUGACGCUGAGGCGCGAAAGCGUGGGGAGCGAACAGGAUUAGAAACCCUAGUAGUCC
rnacentral:rRNA from 1 species